rnacentral:pre_miRNA from 1 species
UCUUGUUAAAAGGCAGAUUCUGAUUCAGGGACCAAGAUUCUGCAUUUUUAGCAAGUUC